rnacentral:rRNA from 1 species
CCCCUAGAUGUUCUGGGCCGCACGCGCGCUACACUGAACAGUUCAACAAGUCUUAACCUUGGCCGAUAGGUCUGGGUAAUCUUUGAACGCUGUUCGUGAUUUGGAUAGACCUUUGCAAUUAUGGGUCUUCAACGAGGAAUUCCUAGUAAACGCAAGUCAUCAGCUUGCAUUGAUUACGUCCCUGCCCUUUGUACACACCGCCCGUCGCACCUACCGAUUGAAUGGUCCGGUGAAAUCUCGGGACGGCGGCUUGGUCGCUUGCGUCCGACUGCUGAAACUUGAUUAAACCAUAUCAUUUAGAGGAAGGUGAANUCGUAACA